rnacentral:lncRNA from 1 species
UGCUAAGGAGCUGUCCACACCCUGGGUCUAACUGGUCCUACUCUGGCUGGCUUAAGGAGGUGCUUUGAAAUGUCAUGUGGGUGGUGGUCACUGCUGAACUGGGACUGAGAUUGCCACUGAUCUGAAAACUUCAUUGGGAAACAGCAGAAAAGAAAGAGCUGGGGGAAUAGGAUGAGCUAGUGUAACUAACCAUAGCUCUU